rnacentral:snoRNA from 1 species
AAUUCAUGGUGAGAACACCUUCUUAUGAAAUCUUUAUACCUCUCCCGAGCCUCAUAUAGUGAUUCAGAAUCAAAUUGCAUGAAAGAAAAGAUGUCAUUCUGCAUCU